AACCGAUAAGAUGGAAACGGAUAGAGUUGACGUAUCUAGCUUGUAUUCAGCUGCUCGCCCGAUCGGAGUGAAUUGUUUUGGUCCCGCUUUGGGCCGAAGCGAUUUGCUGCCGUUUCGCAACCGGUUGGCUACGAGCAGUGCAUUUGCAAGUGGAGUGCGCCGAGGCGUGCUGGUUAGCGAUUGGAAGCCGGUUUAGAGGAUACCCGCCUUACGGCGAGUAAACCCUGGGCCGGUGAAAGAUUGUUUGGCUGGCAUUGUUGAUUGAAUGGCUGCGGUCGGCACGGAUUAGGUUGGUCGGGUGUCUGGUGGCGGUCGCAUGCGACACGCGCCUGUUCUAUUCGGCCAAUUUGGUUCGGGUCCCGCGGCUUUGACCUCGGUGUAAAAGUCGAUCAUCUAUCCGACCCGUCUUGAAACACGGACCAAGGAGUUUAGCGUGUGCGCGAGUCAUUGGGUGUUUAAAACUCAAAGGCGUAAUGAAAGUAAAGGCUUCUUUAAUGUUGCUUAUAUGCGAUCCGGUUGGUUUCGACCCGCCGGCGCAGCAUAGCCCCGCUCCGAUUGCUUGCAAUGGGGCGGAGGUAGAGCGUAUGCGCUGAGACCCGAAAGAUGGUGAACUAUGCCUGAGCAGGAUGAAGCCAGAGGAAACUCUGGUGGAAGUCCGAAGCGGUUCUGACGUGCAAAUCGAUCGUCUGACUUG
rnacentral:rRNA from 1 species